rnacentral:rRNA from 1 species
CUCGAUGUUGGCUUGUGAACCUUUUCGGUGUAGAGGCUGAAUAAAGGAAGUCUGUUCGACUUUUAAUUCUUCAUGAGCUGAGUUAAGACCGGUGUAAGCCAGGUUGGUUCUUAUCUAUAAAUGAUUCUAACUAGUACGAAAGGAGAGUUGGAGUAUAAUGUUUAUAAUAGGUUUGGAAUAAUUAAGGAUUA